GCACAUCAUAUGACAUAUGCAUAUACGCAUGUCAAAAAAGUUUCCGCAACUAACAGAUUAUUACUUAUACAGUAUCACCAAUCCACAGAAAUUAAAUUGUGUUGUCUAAGGAUUUUCGUUACUACCAACAUUAUCCCCUCUUUUUUUAUGGAAAUUGCCAUGUAAUCCGAAGAUAUUUUAUUUGGAAAUUCAAGACGAAUUUUGAUACGCAGAAAAAUUUAUGAUUAAGUAGAAUCAAAAAUAUCCUGAAUUAUUACGGUCACAGUAAGAAAGAACAGUAGGCUCACUCUGUCAAAAAGCAUACUAAUAAUUGUCUCUCGCGCAUGACCGUUUUGUACAACCAACAAUAUGGCGGCUUUUAGCAGUCAGUCACACUCCAAUACUGCUCAAUAUACAAUCAAUGCAUAAAUAUAAAAAAACAUUAAUUUAAAAUAUUUAAGAUUAAAUAACAACUAUAAUUAUCAAUCAUAAUAAUUUUAACUAUUAAAUCAAUGAAGAAUUAAGUUCAAGAAUUAAAAUGAUCAUUGUGUACGAUGUUUGAAAUAACAAUAAAAAAAAUAAAAA